UCAUCCCUACGGGGCGCAGCAGUGAGGAAUAUUGGUCAAUGGUCGGGAGACUGAACCAGCCAAGCCGCGUGAGUGAAGAAGUAAUUCGUUAUGUAAAGCUCUAUCAGCAGGGAAGAAAAUGACGGUACCUGAGUAAGAAGCCCCGGCUAACUACGUGCCAGCAGCCGCGGUAAUACGUAGGGGGCAAGCGUUAUCCGGAUUUACUGGGUGUAAAGGGAGCGUAGACGGCAGUGCAAGUCUGGAGUGAAAGGCGGGGGCUCAACCCCCGGACUGCUCUGGAAACUGUACGGCUGGCGUGCAGGAGG
rnacentral:rRNA from 1 species